rnacentral:rRNA from 1 species
CAUGUAGGCGGAUUAAUAAGUUUGAAGUGAAAUCCUAUAGCUUAACUAUAGAACUACUUUGAAAACUGUUAAUCUAGAAUGUGGGAGAGGUAGAUGGAAUUUCUGGUGUAGGGUAAAAUCCGUAGAGAUCAGAAGGAAUACCGAUUGCGAAGGCGAUCUACUGGAACAUUAUUGACGCUGAGAUGCGAAAGCGUGGGGAGCAAACA